AAGUCGUAACAAGGUUUCCGUAGGUGAACCUGCGGAAGGAUCAUUGUCGAAACCUGCAAAGCAGAACGACCCGCGAACGCGUUUUAUUACAACCCACCUCGUCCGGUCGUGCCCUUCACGGGGCGCGCCUCGGGCGAACAACGAACCCCCGGCGCGGAAAGCGCCAAGGAAUACUACAACGAGACAGCCAGCUCCCUCCGCCCCGUUCGCGGCUAGCGCGGGGAGCCUCGGCGUCUUAUUUUAACAAAAACGACUCUCGGCAACGGAUAUCUCGGCUCUCGCAUCGAUGAAGAACGUAGCGAAAUGCGAUACUUGGUGUGAAUUGCAGAAUCCCGUGAACCAUCGAGUCUUUGAACGCAAGUUGCGCCCGAAGCCGUCAGGCCGAGGGCACGUCUGCCUGGGCGUCACGCAUCGCGUCGCCCCAUCCCCCCCGCGGGAUGGGUGCGGAUGUUGGCCCCCCGUGCCCAUAACUAGGGGCGCGGCCGGCCCAAAUGCGAGUCCUUGGCGACGGACGUCACGGCGAGUGGUGGAAUAAUACUCUCAUUUCGCGUCGUGACCCGUCGGCAUUGGACGGCCGACCCUUUCGAGCGAAUGCUCUCCGACCGCGACCCCAGGUCAGGCGGGAUUACCCGCUGAAUUUAA
rnacentral:rRNA from 1 species